rnacentral:pre_miRNA from 1 species
UCUUACGGGUGAGCAAAGCAAGUGUUUUCUUGAGAUGGAACUGACUCUUGGUGAAUACGCUAUGAA